rnacentral:rRNA from 1 species
GUCUUCCUACGGGAGGCAGCAGUAGGGAAUUUUCGUCAAUGGGCGCAAGCCUGAACGAGCGAUGCCGCGUGAGUGAAGAAGGCUUUCGGGUCGUAAAUCUCUGUUGCGGGGGAAAAAAGGCAGCAUCAGGAAAUGGGUGCUGACUGAUGGUGCCCCGCCAGAAAGUCACGGCUAACUACGUGCCAGCAGCCGCGGUAAUACGAAGGUGGCGAGCGUUAUCCGGAAUGAUUGGGCGUAAAGGGUGAGCA